CCUCGGAUCAGGUAGGAAUACCCGCUGAACUUA
rnacentral:rRNA from 1 species